rnacentral:misc_RNA from 1 species
UAGCCGUAGGUGAACCUGCGGCUGGAUCAUUAUCGAGCUAAGCAAAAAACUCUAGUGCUUCUGCGCUAUAGUAGUGGCAGGAACUAUGUGCGGUGCGUUUGCUUGACGUACGACUGCACGCCACAGUGACCCAACGGCGAUCGGUUGGUGUCUGUCCGGUUCUGAGCAGCUGUUGCCUAAGUCCGUGGCUGCGUUGACGAACCGGGGCACGCAUACGUCCUGCUAUUCGGCGGGGUAGCGGAUGCGAAGACUCAAUGAGCUCCACGCCUGGGAGCUGCCAAACAACCUUUUUUUCAACGAAUUUUUCUUAACUAAAGACAAAUAUCAGUCUUACCGGUGGAUCACUCGGUUCGU